rnacentral:tRNA from 1 species
UACAUCUUGGUGUAUGAUGCACAACAGCUUUUGAUGCUUGUAGGCAAUAGUUUGAUUCUAUUUGAUGUAA